UCGGACGCAGCCAUAGUGAAUAUAUUGAGCUCCCUCGAGAACCGUAGUGUGCCGGCAUUUUUGAGAAGCGUGCUCAGGACGCCAAGUUAGUCUGGAGCUGCUGAGGUAGUCUGGAUUUUCCGACUUUCCCUUGCUCGUGGUGUGUGUGUGAGACUGUGUGCACGCAGGAGAAACGCUGGAUGCAGUGCUGGGAGUUUGUUCUGCUUAUACUGCCAGUAAUAUUGGAGAGAGGAGUGGAGUUACAGUUAUUUAAGGAGACCGAGGCCAGUGGAAGAGCGUGUAGAGGCAUUUGCAGACAUAAUUACUGAGCAAACUACAAGGAGGGAUGUCUGGAGACAACCAUAUGGUGUAGCCACUGUUUUUCCCAUAUCUGUUUAUGCUUUUAUUUUAUUUUCUUUGACAUCUCAGACUCUAAAGGGUAUCUUGGUCUUAUAUAAGAAGGUUCUGCUCCUUGUAAUGCUAAUGGGCUAUUAAUGAUCAUUUUAAUUAGUUGAGUACAGUUUAAUAUUUACAGCUAUCUAUUUAGACCUCUUUUAAUAUUUGUAGUAUAUUUUAUUGAUAUAAGGUACUUAUAACUUUUGGGCACUGCCUGUUUGUUAGGUGGGCUAUUCCCUUAAAUUAUUUUUCUACUUUUGUAUUUUAUAAUAAAUUCUACAUAAUAUUUUGUAAACUAUGUUCCAUACCCCUUUAUAUCUUAUUAUAUACUGACCCCUCUAUUCAGUCUAUUCAGAGUUCAAACUGUGGUUGUUUGGGUGGGUGGCUUAGCUUAAUUCUAGGCCCAUUUGUGUGUGGUGUUUUGGGUGACUUAAAACCUUUUUUUACUUUUUGUUAUUUUGAAGUGGAAAAUAGAUAUCUGGUGUGUGGGUUUAAGUCAAAUGGCACAUUGAUUGCAGUGAUAUUGUGUAUAUUGGGCUAGGGGCUAUUGCUACCACCUAUGAAACCUGUUUUUAUUGUUUGAAUAUAGACUCUGAAACAAAAGGGUAAUAUUCAAAUGUACACUUGAUACUCUUUGAUAAUUUAUUAAAUAAACUGUUAUUGUA